rnacentral:rRNA from 1 species
GAUGAACGCUGGCGGCGUGCCUAAUACAUGCAAGUCGAGCGAACAGACGAGGAGCUUGCUCCUCUGACGUUAGCGGCGGACGGGUGAGUAACACGUGGAUAACCUACCUAUAAGACUGGGUUAACUUCGGGAAACCGGAGCUAAUACUGGAUAAUAUAUUGAACCGCAUGGUUCAAUAGUGAAAGACGGUUUUGCUGUCUCUUAUAGAUGGAUCCGCGCCGCAUUAGCUAGUUGGUAAGGUAACGACUUACCAAGGCAACGAUGCGUAGCCGACCUGAGAGGGUGUUCGGCAACACGGGAGCUGAGACACGGACCAGACUCCUCCGAGAGGCAGCAGUAGGGGAGCAUCCGCAAUGAGCGAAAGCCUGACGGAGCAACGCCGCGUGAGUUAGGAAGGACUUCGGAUCGUUAAACUCUGUUAUUAGGGAAGAACAAGGGUGGAAGGAACUAUGGACGGCUUGACGGUACCUAGUCAGGAAGCCACGGCUAACUACGUG